UACGGAGGGUGCGAGCGUUGUCCGGAAUCACUGGGCGUAAAGGGCGCGUAGGCGGCCUGAUAAGUCGGGGGUGAAAUCCUGCGGCUUAACCGCAGGGCUGCCUUCUAAACUGUCGGGCUCGAGCACAGUAGAGGCAGGUGGAAUUCCCGGUGUAGCGGUGGAAUGCGUAGAGAUCGGGAAGAACAUCAGUGGCGAAGGCGGCCUGCUGGGCUGUUGCUGACGCUGAGGCGCGACAGCGUGGGGAGCAAACAGG
rnacentral:rRNA from 1 species